GAUGAACGCUGGCGGCGUGCCUAAUACAUGCAAGUCGAGCGGACGGACGAGAAGCUCGUUUUUCUGAUGUUAGCGGCGGACGGGUGAGUGACACGUGGAUAACCUACCUAUUUGACUGGGAUAACUUCGGGAAACCGGAGCUAAUAACGGAUAAUAUUUUGUACUGCAUGGUUCAAAAGUUAAUGACGGUCUUGCUGUCACUGAUAGAUGGUGCCGCGCUGCAUUAUCUAGUUGGUAAGGUAACGGCUUACCAAGGCAACGAUGCAUAGCCGACCUGAGAGGGUGAUCGGCCACACUGGAACUGAGACACGGUCCAGACUCCUACGGGAGGCAGCAGUAGGGAAUCUUGGGCAAUGGGCGAAAGCCUGACGGAGCAACGCCGCGUGAGUGAUGAAGGUCUUCGGAUCGUAAAGCUCUGUUAUUAGGGAAGAACAUAAGUGUAAGUAACUGUGGACAUCUUGACGGUACCUAAACAAAAAGCCACGGCUAACUACGUG
rnacentral:rRNA from 1 species